rnacentral:rRNA from 1 species
UGGGGAAUAUUGGACAAUGGGGGGAACCCUGAUCCAGCCAUGCCGCGUGUGUGAAGAAGGCCUUAUGGUUGUAAAGCACUUUAAGCGAGGAGGAGGGUACUGGUAUUAAUACUACCAGGUACUGGACGUUACUCGCAGAAUAAGCACCGGCUAACUCUGUGCCAGCAGCCGCGGUAAUACAGAGGGUGCGAGCGUUAAUCGGAUUUACUGGGCGUAAAGCGUGCGUAGGCGGCUAAUUGAGUCGGAUGUGAAAUCCCCGAGCUUAACUUGGGAAUUGCAUUCGAUACUGGUUAGCUAGAGUGUGGGAGAGGAUGGUAGACUUCCAGGUGUAGCGGUGAAAUGCGUAGAGAUCUGGAGGAAUACCGAUGGCGAAGGCAGCCAUCUGGCCUAACACUGACGCUGAGGUACGAAAGCAUGGGGAGCAAACAGG